CCUGCCCCUAUAGGCAUUACAGGUAUAACUUCUUUGUCACAAAUGUCUGAGUAGGUGGCAGAGAGGAGAGAGGGUGUGUAUAUACCCAGUAUUCUGACCUAUGAAUAUCUGAAUGACUAGUAGACUAACAGU